UUCUCGAUGGCCUCGUCUUCAAUGAAGUAAAGCUUGAUGGCAGUGUUGUUCUCCUCUAAGACCCUGUACAGAGUAUGAGCAUUUGGGAUGUCACAUCCUUGACUUAUCAGCCUGUCUGCGGUUCUUUUUAGGGUUGUCAAGGUCAAGUCAAUGACCAGUUUACUCUCCAAAACUAAUUACUGUAUCCUUUUAAUCACUAUGUAGUAAAAUGAACGUGAACUUGCAGAUAAUACUCCUAAAUAUGUCAGUACAAACCAGUCGGCUAGUGAACAUGAACCCCUCACGCACCAGUUGCCAAGGCAGUAUACUGUAUG